UGGGGAAUUUUGGACAAUGGGCGAAAGCCUGAUCCAGCAAUGCCGCGUGUGUGAAGAAGGCCUUCGGGUUGUAAAGCACUUUUGUCCGGAAAGAAAUCCUUGGCUCUAAUACAGUCGGGGGAUGACGGUACCGGAAGAAUAAGCACCGGCUAACUACGUGCCAGCAGCCGCGGUAAUACGUAGGGUGCAAGCGUUAAUCGGAAUUACUGGGCGUAAAGCGUGCGCAGGCGGUUUGCUAAGACCGAUGUGAAAUCCCCGGGCUCAACCUGGGAACUGCAUUGGUGACUGGCAGGCUAGAGUAUGGCAGAGGGGGGUAGAAUUCCACGUGUAGCAGUGAAAUGCGUAGAGAUGUGGAGGAAUACCGAUGGCGAAGGCAGCCCCCUGGGCCAAUACUGACGCUCAUGCACGAAAAGCGUGGGGAGCAAAACAGGAUUAGAUACCCUGGUAGUCCACGCCCUAAAACGAUGUCAACUAGUUGUUGGGGAUUCAUUUCCUUAGUAACGUAGCUAACGCGUGAAGUUGACCGCCUGGGGAGUACGGUCGCAAGAUUAAAACUCAAAUGAAUUGACGGGGUCAUAGCUGUUUCCU
rnacentral:rRNA from 1 species